GAAACUGAGGAUAAUACUGGAUAGGCAAUUUUUCCUGUAAUGGUUUUUUGUUUAAAUGUUUUUUCGCCUAAGGAUGGGUCUGCGGCCGAUUAGGUAGUUGGUUAGGUAAUGGCUUACCAAGCCGUUGAUCGGUACGGGUUGUGAGAGCAAGAGCCCGGAGAUGGAACCUGAGACAAGGUUCCAGGCCCUACGGGGUGCAGCAGGCGCGAAACCUCCGCAAUGUGAGAAAUCGCGACGGGGGGAUCCCAAGUGCCAUUCUUAACGGGAUGGCUUUUCAUUAGUGUAAAAAGCUUUUGGAAUAAGAGCUGGGCAAGACCGGUGCCAGCCGCCGCGGUAACACCGGCAGCUCUAGUGGUAGCAAUUUUUAUUGGGCCUAAAGCGUCCGUAGCCGGUUUAAUAAGUCUCUGGUGAAAUCCUGUAGCUUAACUGUGGGAAUUGCUGGAGAUACUAUUAGACUUGAGACCGGGAGAGGUUAGAGGUACUCCCAGGGUAGAGGUGAAAUUCUGUAAUCCUGGGAGGACCGCCUGUUGCGAAGGCGUCUAACUGGAACGGUUCUGACGGUGAGGGACGAAAGUUAGGGGCGCGAACCGGAUUAGAUACCCGGGUAGUCCUAACUGUAAACGAUGCGGACUUGGUGUUGGGGUGGCUUUGAGCUGCUCCAGUGCCGAAGGGAAGCUGUUAAGUCCGCCGCCUGGGAAGUACGGUCGCAAGACUGAAACUUAA
rnacentral:rRNA from 1 species